rnacentral:rRNA from 1 species
UGAGUAACCUACCCUCAACUUCGGGAUAAGCCUCGGAAACGGGGUCUAAUACCGGAUAUCACUCCUUUCUUCAUGGUUUGGGGUUGAAAGUUCUGGCGGUUGGGGAUGGGCUCGCGGCCUAUCAGCUUGUUGGUGGGGUGAUGGCCUACCAAGGCGACGACGGGUAGCCGGCCUGAGAGGGCGACCGGCCACACUGGGACUGAGACACGGCCCAGACUCCUACGGGAG